rnacentral:rRNA from 1 species
GACGAACGCUGGCGGCGUGCUUAACACAUGCAAGUCGUACGGUAAGGCCCUUUCGGGGGUACACGAGUGGCGAACGGGUGAGUAACACGUGAGUAACUUGCCCACAACUUUGGGAUAACGCUAGGAAACUGGUGCUAAUACUGGAUAUGUGCUCCUGCUGCAUGGUGGGGGUUGGAAAGCUCCGGCGGUUGUGGAUGGACUCGCGGCCUAUCAGCUUGUUGGUGGGGUAGUGGCCUACCAAGGCGGCGACGGGUAGCCGGCCUGAGAGGGUGACCGGCCACAUUGGGACUGAGAUACGGCCCAGACUCCUACGGGAGGCAGCAGUGGGGAAUAUUGCACAAUGGGCGCAAGCCUGAUGCAGCAACGCCGCGUGCGGGAUGACGGCCUUCGGGUUGUAAACCGCUUUCAGCAGGGACGAAGCUUUUUGUGACGGUACCUGCAGAAGAAGCACCGGCUAACUACGUG